rnacentral:lncRNA from 1 species
UUUUUAUAACAUAAUAAUGAUAAUAAAUAAUAACUCAAACCCAAACUAACUACAUGCCCAGUACCCAUUACUUACUGAAAUGAACAUGUCACCGUGCAUUCCAUUCUUAUACAAUCCAAGUCUGAAUUCAAACAAAAAUUCCAAAAAAAAAAAAUUUCAGGGAUCAUAUGUUCCAAACUAGAAGAUGGUACAGAGUCAAAGCAACAAUGAACUAAGCUAUAUAAGACAUCAUAAAUACAAAGUGAUAUGGCUGAACUCAUAACAGAAAAUGAAUACAUGUUUUGAGCUUUGAGAAUCCAUUUGUUAAUUCCAAGCCAAGCUUUACAUUAGACGGAAAACAGAAGCUUGAAUAAUAACAAGAGGAAGAACCAAGAUCAGCCUGAGAUUCAAAGAAGUAGUAACAGCAGACCAAUCAGCAAGGAAAUAACCACAGCUCUUGACUCAACACAACCACAGGCCCAGAUAACUCAGAAUUGAUUCAAGAGCUCAUAAACCUCAAAGCUUGAAAUGAAAAACCAAUAGAACAGUGACUCUAAACAAAGCAUGAACCAACGAAACUUUCAAAAAACAACCAGCAUCAAUCCAUUCCAAAUCUCAGAACAAAAAUGCUUGCUUUCAUGAAAAAAAAAACAUAAUUUCAGAAAAUCCUGAAGAAGCCCGAUAGAACAGUAUCCCUUUUUUUGUAUUUUUCAAUUUUCUCUUCAAAUCUCCUAUGAAACAGUAAAUUUUUAGUUUUCUGUAGAUUUCAGCUCUCAAAACCUUCUUUUUUUGUGUAUUUUUAUUUCUGGACUUGUUUUUUUUUUGCC